rfam:Fonticula alba strain ATCC 38817 mitochondrial scaffold supercont2.211, whole genome shotgun sequence.
ACACUCUUAGCUCAACUGGAUAGAGCAAUAGCCUUCUAAGUUAUAGGUCACAGGUUCGAGUCCUGUAGAGUGUG